GUUAUAUAAAAGCAAUAAGCUCCAAGAAGCCGUGGUUUACAGUGAAUUUAUAACAGCUAAGGAGCGUUGAUAGGCACGACGCAAAGCAGGCUUUUUAG